rnacentral:rRNA from 1 species
UACGAAGGGGGCUAGCGUUGCUCGGAAUCACUGGGCGUAAAGCGCACGUAGGCGGCUUACUAAGUCAGGGGGGAAAUCCUGGAGCUCAACUCCAGAACUGCCUUUGAUACUGGUGAGCUUGAGUCCGGAAGAGGUGAGUGGAACUGCGAGUGUAGAGGUGAAAUUCGUAGAUAUUCGCAAGAACACCAGUGGCGAAGGCGGCUCACUGGUCCGGUACUGACGCUGAGGUGCGAAAGCGUGGGGAGCAAACAGG